rnacentral:lncRNA from 1 species
UUCUCUUCUGUACGGCGGACCGUCGAAGAUGUUCUUUGACUGGUUUCACUUUUGGGUAGACUCGCAAACGAUGCUCAGACAGCCCCCUGGGAACACCUGGCAUGUCAGAAGGUUUCCAUGCGAAGAUGUCCCAGUUCUCACGGAGGAACUGGAUGAUCGCUUCUUCCUAUUUGGAGUCGAGUGUUGUUGAAAUGUGAGUCGGAGCAGCAUUGGGAUCCGUCGGGUGAAUGUGAAUCGGCUUCGUUUCACUAGACGACUGGAAUGCUGAAUCUGUGGCAGGCUUCUUAGCUCACAACAAACCACUCGGAUCUGCAUUUUUUUGAUACUCCUGUAAUUCCACUAUUGCCAUCUGUGCAUCGGCGGUCUUUGAGCCCUUCUGGAAGCAUUCUUCUGCCUUCUUUCGAUUGCCAGUGAUAGUGAUCACCCCUUUAGGACCAGGCAUCUUCAAUUUGAGGUACACGUAACAUGGUCGAGCCAUAAAACGUGCAUAAGCUGGCCUGCCCAGAAUAGCAUGAUAAGCACUUUGAAAGUCCACAACUUCAAAUGUCAACUUUUCUUUGCAGAAAUUCUUGGAAUCUCCAAAAACUACAUCAAGGGCGAUCUGGCCGAGUGACGUGGCCUUCUUGCCAGGAAUAACUCCAUGGAAACUCAUGUUGCUUUCACUGAGUCUGGACAUCGGAAUGCCCAUUCCUUUCAAUGUCUCUGCAUACAGUAUAUUCAGACCACUGGCACCAUCCAUCAGAACCUUAGUCAAUCGAGUGCCUUUGACUACUAGGUCGACCACCAGCGCUUGCCUCCUAGGAGUGGCUAUAUGCGCUGGGUGAUUGGACUGGUCGAAUGUAAUGGCAGUCUGAGACCACUUCAAAUAACUGGGUGUCACCGGGGCGACCAUGUUCACUUCUCUGUUGAUGACUUUCAGUCGACUCUUACUCUCAACAUCAGUGAAAAUCAUCAGAGUGGAAUUGACGUGGGGGUAACCAUCAUCGUCCUCUUCCUCAUCCUCGACUUUGUCCACUUCCUUUUCCUUUUCAUUGGGUUGUUUCUCUCGGAAUUGCUGGAUUAGGAGUCGACACUGUCGAGUGGUAUGCUUUGGAUAAAUGAAAUUACCCUCUUCAUCUUUCUUGGUGUGAAUGUGGCAUGGUAAAUCUAGCACAUCAUUUCCAUCUUGAUCUUUUACUUUCUUGGGGUUCCACGAUCCUUUGGGUUUCCCUUUGAACUUUCCUUGAGUCACGGCUAAGGCUUCUCCAGGUGCAGCUAGCUCGGCUUUGCGCUUCUGCUUCCUACUGGAGUUCCCUCCUCCGGUUUCGUGGGUGAUUGUUUUGUGGUUGCUACUCCGGAGUCGGUCUUCUUCUUCACCAUUGGCGUACUUGGUGGCAAUCUCCAUCAUCCGAGUCAGAGUCAUAUCUCCUGUCUGACCGAACUUCAGAUUCAACUCCCGAUACUUAACGCCUUCUUUGAAGGCGCAAAUUGCUUGGUGAUCUGACACAUUCUCGACUGUGUGGUGCAGCGUGAUCCAUCUCUGGAUAUAAUCCCUCAAAGUUUCAUUCGGUUUCUGAACGCAACACUGUAAUUCUGUUAGCCCUGCCGGCCGCUUGGAAGUACCUUCAAAUGUUCUGACAAACACUCGGGCAAGAUCUUCCCAAGUAUAAAUACUACCAGGCGCCAACUGAUUUAGCCAUGCUCCGGCCGAGCCCUCUAACAUCAAAGGAAGGUGCUUCAUGGCCACUUCAUCGUUGCCACCACCAGUCUGUACAGCCACUCGGUAAUCCUCAAGCCAAGUGUCAGGCUUGGACUCACUAGUUAACUUACUGACUCCAGUCGCCAAUCUGAAGUUGGGAGGAAUCAUCGCAGCCCUUAUGGCUCUGCUGAAGCACUCUAGACCUGAGAAAUGCACUCUGCUGCUGGUUGGAAAAUCCCUGUCGCGAUCUUCUCUGUGAGCUCUGUUUCUAUCGACUAGGCCCUGAACGAGAAUAGAUCUCGCCUCAAAGCCUGGUUCCCUGGGGUGGACUGGAAUCCUUCGCCCACCACUGUGAGGACGUCUGUCAUCAUGCUGUCGAGGCACGUAUGACCCACUCCUUGGGGAAGGCGUGGGCACUCGACGACGAUCAUCGUGAUCGAGUAGGUGAUCAUACUGCUCGCGGUUUCUAUACUGAUCUCGCCGGUCUCCACGUCCCUCACGCCUCGGGGGCGAUCUCGGGCUGUGAGCCGACUAGACUGUGUCUGCAACCACGGAUCUGCUAUGGAUCCUAUUCCGCGACUGAGAUACUGCUAUAUUCUGCUCUCCUGCUGCUCGGAGCAAAGCCCGGAUCUGCACCAAACCUCGACCAUCCUUUGACUGGGAACGUUGGAUUGACUUCGCUAUUCAGGCUGCAGCUGCAAGAUUCUGGAUCGGAGUUCGGUAUACCUGAGUCGGAGGCGGAAAAAGUUGGCGUCGACUGGACUCGGGGAUACGCUGCCGAGCACGUUCAUCGAGUGCGCGCUGGAGGUUCUCCAGUCGAGUGCGCUCAGCCAAGUUGGCUAGGCGCGCCUCUUCUAAGGCCUGGGCCUCAAGGGUUUCUCCAACUAUAGGAGUGUGAAGCGCAUCCAUGUUCCAGCGGCAAAUUUCUUCCCUCCGCUGCGAAGAGAGGGGUUCGGGGCGGUACUCUUCGUGAACACGCGAUGGAUCGCCGCCCCCAUCACGUCCGUCUUCACGAGUGAAGCCAGGAAGACUGCAUGGUCCAUUGACCAUCAAAACUUCCACCGCGGGGUCGCUGCUGUCGCACUCGGAUGCAGUCUCUACGGAGCCAGUUGACAGGUCGAACAGGCCAUAGAGAGUUUCGUCGGGCUCGAUUGUCGCGACUUGGGGGCGGCCGACUAGCAAGCCACCACAUGCCUCACCCACCGCUGAAGCCUCGAUCGACCGGAAUGCUUGCUCCGGCGGGCUGCAGGGAGGGAGGUCAGCACAGGAGCCGACCGAUACUGAGUUGACAGCUGCCGUAGGAGGACGCCACGGACGCACGCGUGAAAGUGCGUUGCCCCGCGGAUGGGGAGCGCCUCAACGUCAAGUGGCGCUUCUUGGAGCCAAGCAGAGUCGUCUGCGACGAAUACGAGCGCACCGAGACGGAUCUCGCGGCCCUCGGCCAAACCUUCGCCCAAAACCAUGUUGAUGGGGAUCGAAAAAAUCGCAACUUCUCCAACAAGUCGCUAAGACACCGGCCCCACGGCGGGCGCCAACUGUCGUGGUUCUAAGUCUGACAGUAUAAUAGGGGGGUAGGGAUGUAGAGGCAAGAUCCUAGGUAUGGAGGAGUUGUACACGUGAGGUUUACGAGUUCAGGCCCUUCUUGGAGGAAGUAACAACCCUACGUCUUGGAGCCCGGAGGCGGUCGACUGGAUUAUAUGAGUGUGAGUUACAGGGGGUGCGAACCCUUAUGCCUGUGGAGGGGGGUGGCUUAUAUAGAGUGCUCCCGGACUCCAGCCAGCCCACAUCACAGAGGGUUUAAGGUACAUUGAAGAGAGAAUGUUACUGGUAAUGCCCGCACUAAAGUGCUAUAAAUGACAAUUAAGCCUAUAAGUAAAUGCUCGACCGUUGCUCAUGCAGAGUGGCUUUAGCUCUUCUGUCCAUCGAGUAACUUCUGCGACGGUCGAGUGACAUUGAUUCUUCCGAGUGGAAUGUCUCUGGUCGAGUGGAUGAUGGUACCCUUCGAAUGAUCCAGGCUUUAGGGUGAUGCCCUAGGGGAGGAUGUCUAGGUCAGGUCUAUGACCCUACCCUAGGUACACUCCUUCAUCAGUGGUGGCCCUCGUGAGGUUUACGCUUUCGACGUCACCCCCCUUAGUUCUGUUUUAUUUAUAUUCAAAUCUAAUUCUAUCCAGAGAGCUUCAAACAGCCAAAACUUCAUACCAUAAGUCCAAAUGAAUUGAUUCUUUUUGCAUUGUGUUCUUUAUGAAGAAAUCUAGUAGCUCACCAAAUAUGAGAUUUUUCUCUGCUGUCUAGAUUUUCUGGUGAAUUUCAGAAGGGUUCUUGAUGUUUUAUUUUGGUCUUUAUAAUUGUUUUCAGAUAGUGAAGCUUGCCUUGAGGAUCACCAGGAGGAUUGUGAACCUCAUCUGCACUAAGGCAAGCCACAACAACAUUUUCAUGGUGCCAUUACAAUAUUUGUGAUUUUUCAACUUGAAUUAAUGAUUUAAUCCAUGCAUCUAAAUCACUAGUAUAUUAUUUAUAUUCUGGCUAGUUGCUUGUUUAAGUUGAUAUGCUUAGUUUACAGAAAGUUUGAAGCUAACUAAGUUGGCUAAGUAACUAGAAGUAAUAAUUGUUAUGAAGAAGUAAUAUGAUUAUGGAUAUAAGUAAUUAUUUUGAGUUAUUUUUUUGAGGAGAAAAAUGAUAAAUUUGCUAAGUAAAGAUUCUGUUUAAAGUGAUGAUUAAUCAUAACCAGGGAAGUGUUAUGAGUUGUUGAUGUCUAUGCUUAGUGUGGAUAUAGUUGACCCAGUUAUUUCCGAUGAUAUAUGAUGCAUAUAUUUGUGUAGCACUUGCAUGGCAUGUUAUGACACCAGUUACUUUCACGUUAAGUUGAACCUGCUAAUAACUAAACUUGAAUAUAUCGUUGACCGGGUCAUGGUGCCACUGAAUCGAGUUUUUCCCAGUGCAACCACAUUUGCCUUUAUGGGAAGGCCUUUAUUCGGUCCGUUGUCAUGCCUCUGGUUGGUGCCUCCAACGAGGGAAGGUUAUGGGAAUGAGGUACCCUGGCCCGGUAAGCAGACAUAAUCUCGUGUGCCCGUUGUUGAUGUUAUGGUACCUUGUCCCCGUUUGGGCCCGUUUAUGUUUUGCCACGACGGUGGUGUCUUUGGUAGACACGGGGCCACCCAGGACUAGCCCAGUGGGGAGUGAGUCGGAGUGGCCGAGAGAGUGUCAUGGCAAUGGAGACGUUUAGUCGGAAUGCCAUUGGUCCACCCGAAUGGGAGUGCGAGGCCAUGGGUUCCGUGGUGUGGGUACAAUGCGCUACCUCUGCAGAGUGUGUUAAAUCUAUCGAUAGCCGAGUCCACGGUUACGGACAGGCUCGAAAGUAGGUCACACCAUGGGUCAACGUUUAAAUAAAUUUUGCACACUAAGUUAUGAACGUCGCACUGUUGAGAAGAUGAUGGUGGGUAAACCAUCUUGAUGUUGGAGGCCAAGUGUUGGUUAUGGUUGUGAUCGCCAGAAAGAUCACUGUUUGAGACCAAGUGUUGGUCAUGGUUGUGAUCGCCGGAAAGAUCACCGUUUGGUUACAAGUUAACCGGAUCCAAGACCACGAGGUUGGUCUGUUUGUGAUCCGAGACUGAUCAUUGUUGGUAAGCAAGUCCGAGGGAAUUUUAUCACGAGAUCAUGAUCACAACAUGUAUGAUAUGUUGUUGCAUUGCUAAUUGGUUAAGUAUCAUGAUAUUGUUUGUCAUUAUGCUUAUGUUUGUUGUGAGCUUGCAAGUACAUUCAAUGUACUGACCUGGCGUGUCAUGCCAGCUUUCAGGAAAGUCUCGUCGGAAAGGAGUGCUAUCCGAGUCUAGAUAGUGUCCACAUCGGUGUCCCUGUGCUAUGGAGUUCCACUACGAUGUUGUUCCUCUGCCACGUAGUUGUUCUGAUCGAGGCCCUUUAUGUUCACUAAAUAAUGUACAUAUUAUUCAGUCGCACCAUGUGUGCCGCUUGGCCUCGCCACUGCUGUAAUAUAAACUAUGAUCCGCUAGCAUCAAUAAAGCGGUUGUUUUCUGUACCAAGAUGUUGUGUGUUUCCAGAAGACAUGGUCUCUGGGCUGGCAAUGCAUGGUAAACCGGUUGCUCUGAGCCGGGGUGCCACACUAUCCCCCUAGGAGCAUGCGCGUAGUGCUUGGUUUUGAUGACUUGUAGAUUUUUCCAAUAAGUAUGUGAGUUCUUUAUGACUAAUGCUGAGUCCAUGGAUUAUACGCAUUCUCACCCUUCCGCCGUUGCUAGCCUCUCUAGUACUGCGCAACUUUCGCCGGUACCAUAAACCCACCAUUUACCUUCCUCAAAAUAGCCACCAUACCUACUGAGAUAUAUUGCCAUGCAACUUUCCAUCAUUGUCAUAUUGCUUUGCAUGAUCAUGUAGUUGACAUCGUAUUUGUGGCAAAGCCACCAUUCAUAAUAUUUUGAUACAUGUCACUCUUGAUUCAUUGCACAUCCCGGUACACUGCCGGAGGCAUUCAUAUAGAGUCAUAUUUUGUUCUAAGUAUCGACUUGUAAUUCUUGAGUUGUAAGUAAAUAAAAGUGUGAUGAUCUUUUGUAUUAGAGCAUUGUCCCAUGUGAGGAAAUAAAAAAAGAGAAAGGCUAAAGAAAAAGAGAGAAGCCCCACCCAAAAAAAAGAGAAGGGACAAUUCUACUAUCCUUUUUCCACACUUGUGCUUCAAAGUAGCGCCAUGAUCUUCAUGAUAGAGAGUCUCUUAUUUUGUCACUUUCAUAUACUAGUGGGAAUUUUCGUUAGAGAACUUGGCUUGUAUAUUCCAACAAUGGGCUUCCUCAAAAUGCCCUAGGUCUUCGUGAGCAAGAAAGUUGGAUGCACACCCACUUAGUUUCUUUUGUUGAGCUUCCAUAUAUUUAUAGCUCUAGUGCAUCUGUUGCAUGUCAAUUCCUACUCAAUCACAUUGAUGUCUAUUGAUGGGCAUCUCCAUAGCCCAUUAAUACGCCUAGUUAAUGUGAGACCAUCUUCCUCCUUUUUGUCUUCUCCACAACCACCAUUCUAUUCCACCUAUAGUGCUAUGUCCAUGGCUCACGCUCAUGUAUUGCGUGAAAGUUGAAAAAGUUUGAGAAUAUUAAAGUAUGAAACAAUUGCUUGGAUUGUCAUCGGGGUUGUGCAUGAUUUGAAUAUUUUGUGUGAUGAAGAUGGAGCAUAGCCAAACUAUAUGAUUUUGUAGGGAUGAACUUUCUUUGGCCAUGUUAUUUUGAGAAGACAUGAUUACUUUGUUAGUAUGCUUGAAGUAUUAUUAUUUUUAUGUCAAUAUUAAACUUUUGUCUUGAAUCUUUCGUAUCUGAACAUUCAUGCCACAAUAAAGAAAAUUACAUUGAUAAUUAUGUUAGGUAGAAUUCCCCAUCAAAAAUUCUGUUUUUAUCAUUUACCUACUCGAGGACGAGCGGGAAUCAAGCUUGGGGAUGCUUGAUACGUCUCCAACGUAUCUAUAAUUUUUUAUUGCUCGAUGCUAGUAUAUUAUCUAUUUUGGAUGUUUAAUGGGCUUUAAUAUGCUCUUUAUAUUAUUUUUGGGACUAACCUAUUAACCAGAGGCCUAGUGCCAGUUUCUGUUUUUUGCCUAUUUUAGAGUUUCACAGAAAAGGAAUGCCAAACUGAAUCCAAACGUAAUGAAACCUUCGCGAUGAUCUUUCUUGGACCAAAAGCAAUCUAGAGGACUUGGAGUUGAUGUCUGGAACUCCGCGAGGUGGCCACGAGGCAGGAGGGCGCGCCCAGGGGGUAGGCGCGCCCCACCCUCAUGGGCCCCUCGUAGCUCCACCAACGUACUUCUUUCGCCUAUAUAUAAAAUCUUAUACCCUAGAUCGAUCACAGAGAGCCACGAAACCACUAUUCCACCGCCGCAACCUUCUGUACCCAUGAGAUCCCAUCUUGGGGCCUCUUUCGGCGAUCUGGCGGAGGGGGAAUCGAUCAUGUAGGGCUUCUAUUGUUGGAAAUAUGCCCUAGAGGCAAUAAUAAAAGCUUUAUUAUUAUAUUUCCUUGUUCAUGAUAAUUGUCUUUUAUUCAUGCUAUAAUUGUGUUAUCCAGAAAUCAUAAUACAUGUGUGAAUAAUAGACACCAACAUGUCCCUAGUAAGCCUCUAGUUGACUAGCUCGUUGAUCAACAGAUAGUCAUGGUUUCCUGACUAUGGACAUUGGAUGUCAUUGAUAAUGAGAUCACAUCAUUAGGAGAAUGAUGUGAUGGACAAGACCCAAUCCUAAACAUAGCACAAGAUCGUAUAGUUCGUUUGCUAGAGUUUUCUAAUGUCAAGUAUCCUUUCCUUAGGCCAUGAGAUCGUGUAACUCCCGGAUACCGUAGGAGUGCUUUGGGUAUACCAAAUGUCACAACGUAACUGGGUGACCAUAAAGGUAUACUACGGGUAUCUCUGAAAGUGUCUGUUGGGUUGACACGGAUCAAGACUGGGAUUUGUCACUCCAUAUGAAGGAGAGGUAUCACUGGGCCCACUCGGUAAUGCAUCAUCAUUAUGAGCUCAAAGUGACCAAGUGUCUGGUCACGCGAUCAUGCAUUACGGUACGAGUAAAGUGACUUGCCGGUAACGAGAUCGAACAAGGUAUUGGGAUACCGACGAUCGAAUCUCGGGCAAGUAACAUACCGAUUGACAAAGAGAAUUGUAUACGGGGUUGCUUGAAUCCUCGACAUUGUGGUUCAUCCGAUGAGAUCAUCGAGGAGCAUGUGGGAGCCAACAUGGGUAUCCAGAUCCUGCUGUUGGUUAUUGACCGGAGAGUCGUCUCGGUCAUGUCUACAUGUCUCCCGAACCCGUAGGGUCUACACACUUAAGGUUCGGUGACGCUAGGGUUGUAAAGAUAUGUAUAUGCAGUAACCCGAAUGUUGUUCGGAGUCCCGGAUGAGAUCCCGGACGUCACGAGGAGUUUCAGAAUGGUCCGGGGGUAAAGAAUUAUAUAUAGGAAGAGCUGUUUCGGCCAUCGGGACAAGUUUCGGGGUCACCAGUAUUGUACCGGGACCACCGGAAGGGUCCCGGGGGUCCACCGGGUGGGGCCACCCAUCCCGGAGGGCCCCAUGGGCCAAAGUGGGGAGGGGAACCAGCCCAUAGUGGGCUGGUGCACCCCCCUAGGCCCACCCCAUGCGCCUAGGGUUGGAACCCUAGGGGUGGGGGGGGCGCCCCACCUUGCCUUGGGGGCUACUCCAGCCCUGGCCGCCGCCCCCCUAGGAGAUCUCAUCUCCUAGGGCCGGCGCCCCCUAGGGGAGCCUAUAUAAAGGGGGGGGAGGGAGGGGGCAGCCGGACCUUGAGCCUUUGGCGCCUCCCUCUCCCCUGCUACACCUCUCUCUUGUAGUAUACGGCGAAGCCCUGCUACUGUGAUGCGCUGCAUCCACCACCACGCCGUCGUGCUGCUGGAUCUUCAUCAACCUCUCCUUCCCCCUUGCUAGAUCAAGAAGGAGGAGACGUUACGCUGACCGUACGUGUGUUGAACGUGAAGGUGCCGUCCGUUCGGCGCUAGGAUCUCCGGUGAUUUGGAUCACGUCGAGUACGACUCCCUCAUACCCGUUCUUUGAACGCUUCCGCUCGCGAUCUACAAGGUACGUAGAUGCAUCCAACCACUCGUUGCUAGAUGAACUCAUAGAUGGAUCUUGGUGAAACCGUAGGAACUUUUUUUGUUUUCUGCAAUGUUCCCCAACAUCUAUAUCAAUACCAUAGCCUCUCCGAUGAAGCGUGACUAGUUUACCACAGACCUUCGGGUCCAUAGUUAUUAGCUAGAUGGCUUCUUCUCUCUCUCUUUGAUUCUCAACACAAAGUUCUCCUCAAUGUUCUUGGAGAUCUAUUCGAUGUAAUACUCUUUUGCGGUGUGUUUGCCGAGAUCCGAUGAAUUGUGGGAUUAUGAACAAGAUUAUCUAUGAAUAUUAUUUGGUUCUUCUCUGAAUUCUUAUAUGCAUGAUUUGAUAUGUUUCCAAGUCUCUUUGAAUUAUUAGUUUAGUUUGGCCUACUAGAUUGAUCUUUCUUGCAAUGGGAGAAGUGCUUAGCUUUGGGUUCAAUCUUGCGGUGUCCUUUCCCAGUGACAGUAGGGGCAGCAAGGCACGCAUUGUAUUGUUGCCAUCGAGGAUAAAAAGAUGGGGUUUAUAUCAUAUUGCUUGAGUUUAUCCCUCUACGUCAUGUCAUCUUGUUCAAAGCGUUACUUUGUUCUUAUGAACUUAAUACUCUAGAUGCAUGCUGGAUAGCGGUCGAUGUGUGGAGUAAUAGUAGUAGAUGCAGAAUCAUUUCGAUCUACUUCACAUGGACGUGAUGCCUAUGUUCAUGAUCAUUGCCUUAGAUAUCUAUAUAUCUAUCUAUCUAUCUAUCUAUCUAUCUAUCUAUCUAUCUAUACCUAUACUAAUUACAGACUUCCAAAAAAUUACCACGUUAAUUAGAAAUUAGGAGCCGCUCAUCUUUCGUGGGACCAAGUUAUUAUGGUCGAGAUUUACUAAUUGAAGGAGCUCCCACGUAUCCUAAAAAAAGAAGGAGCUCCCACGUUAGCUAUCCACAACCCUUAGAUGAAAAAACUCACGCCUAGGUUUCUUGGGCCGAACUCUUUCCAAUGACUUCUGAAAGAAAAAAAAGCCCGAGCUUUGCCUCUUCCUUCCUACGUCCACAUCGUCGUCGUUCUGGAGCGAUCUCUGGCGUCGUUCAGCCACCUCAACGUGUUCUCCUUCUAUGUCAUCCAUGACUCAAAAUUCCACUCUGCAAUUGAAAUCUUGAUGCAAUUUCUCCUAAUAUCCUCCUCUGAUCUGUCUCCUCUCCAGUCUCCAAGAAAUUUCUCCCAUUAACCUCCCAGAUCUAUUUCCUUUCCAAUCUUUAAAUCCCCUUGGUUUCAACUAAUGCCAUGUUUUUUCAGAACAGUGAAUCAAUUGUCAGUGGCAGGAUAUUAGAUGCACCAGAACAGAUUGUGUACGGAUGGAUGGUUGAAGAAGAUUAAGGGGCCGUCAUCGUCGGAGAGGUUGCUGGGUGGACGCACUAUGAAGGUAAGUUAAAAAGGGAAAGGCCAGUCGCUAAACAAGAACGCUGGGUUUACAAGAGAUAAAACUCUACGUCUCUGCAAGGGACCGAUUGCACAAUUGGAGGUUUCACCCAAUUAGAGAAGCAAUCUGGGGUGGAUCAAGGGCUUGAUUCAAUAUCUUCUAAUGAGUUUAUUCCAUAUAUGUUCCACCAAGAUGGCAUGGAACUCUUAAGAUUUGAAAUCCUGGGCAUCAGAUAUGGGUAUUGAAGGCAGCUAAGGGGCGACAUAUCCCUUGCGUAAGGGCAUAGGUAGAAGAGGCGCACUUCUGAUUCGAGAGCUUGGACCAACAUUGUACAUCGGUCAUCAUGGGGCCUGCUGGAAUUGGAUAUUUGUAUGUGCAGUUCACUUUCUGCUUCCAAUAAUUCUUGAAUUACAUUCUGCUCAUUACAUACACUUCUACCUACAACUGACCUGUUAUAAUACAGUGGGAAAUUUUAGAUGCAGACCAAGGAAACAAGUUGCUGAUGGAAUAUCAUGCAUCAUUGCUGAGGAGAUUAGUCAUUUUCGCAUUACCUACUUUUCUGUGAUAUUUCAGGUUUCAGGUUUGUCCUCAAUGCUAUCCUUUCACAAUGUUUUGUUAGAUAUAAAUAAUAUGGAUUGGGCAAUUGCUAUGCUUGCUGUGAAAACACACAUAUCUUUUGCAUAUUUAUAAGCUCUGAAGAAACUAGGAAUAUCAUGGGUGAUUAGGGCAUCUAACUUAUGGGUUGAGAUCUAAUUAGAGAUUUCCUACAAAUUCCACCUUAAUCCGCACUUCAUAACAUUUUUAAUUCUGCGGAAAAAGUGAAGUCAUCCCUGCCUACGCUUUGGUAAGCCAAGGAUGUAUAGGCCUGCGCUCCUGUUUUUACGCUAAAAAGAGCACUCCUCGCUGAGUAUGCUACAUUUUUUUGAGUUGGAGAGCACACUUCAUUAAGAAUGGAGCAGCGAAUGUUCUACGGUUUUAUGGGUCCUCUCCAUGGCUGUGCUAUUCCUCCUACCUGUCCGCCUCACGAUCUUACUAACGUCCGUGAAACUUUCAUUCAAUAUCUUCUUCCAUUGUUCCUUCAAGCUGUUUGUUAGGCUCUUCACCUUGGCCAACUCGCCAUAGCUGCACGGCCCUCCUGAGAAGCCACCGGUUGUCUAUGCUCAUCCUAUUCCUAUUCAUAGGCAAAACCAGACGCAGACCCAAUCGCAAAGGAUGAUGGGAUCACGAGAGGAAGAGGCAAGGUACUGUCUCAAGUCUCAUACAUAUUGAUAAAGGCAAUAAAACUGUGUUUCAUGGGGAAAGAUCAACAUGGCUGCAAUAACAAUACACUCAGAAUGCAUGCGCCACAGCAACUUGACUUGCUAUCAACGACAUGACGAGUCGCUUGCUUCACUUGCACCAUGCUGGAGACUCGGAGUAGGCCACCUGCUCGGUGUGCAUGAUAUUCCAGUAGGCGCACCUGCUCCAGCCGAGCCGUGUGGUAUUCUAUGGGGCAGCGUUGCAAUGGAUAUGGGACGCACACAUGAUUUCCCGAUUGGAGACGGUGCACAUGGGUGGCUGCCGUCGGCAUGGAUGUGUAUUGUUCUUCUAACCCUUGGGAAAAAGAGUUUGUCUCAUGUAUGUUACUCCUGCUAGAGCAACAGAAUAAACAUUUGCAACAUGGCCCUUUUCUCUGCCCAGUUCUAAUCAUCCCACCUCGAUCCACCUGUUUGAACUUGCACAUGGUUACCAUAUGUCUGAGAUAAUAUUUAUAGAAAUAUAGCUAUGUUUUUUCUUUUGAUUUUUGUGUUGAUUUACAGGUGAAAAGGUAGCUAACGGCAUAUCCUUCCGAGCAAUGUUAAAGUUAGCGAAUUUGUGAUAUAUAUAACACAUUGCAUAUUAUACACUAGAGUAAUCGUAUACUGAUUAUGUAAGUUUUUCUCUCGCACAUCUUGCUUCCUAUCGACAGAUACAUGUUGUAGAAGCUAAGUCCAAUUUAUUGGGAUGUACAAGAUUGCGGGCCGGAUUGAUGCCCUUUUACCACGGAAAAAGUAGCAACAACAACAGUGUUUUGUGCCCGCGAUGGCAUAAUCCAAGUCUGUUGAUGUGUUUGACACUUAUGGCUGUACUCGACGCUCCUCAAUUUAUGUAAGUUUAUAAUCUCUGUAGAAGUUUAUGGACGAAACUGGGGAUCAUGUAUGUAUAGAAUGCAUGCCUCAUAAAAGUUAGACCUUCGGAUGUUUUUCCCUCAUGGCUAUGUGCAUUUUUCCGUACAAAUGGUUUGUUAGACUGUUAUUUCUUAAAUACGGUAUCCAUCAGAUCGUCCAAAGCAUGUACUGUAUUCAUUACAAGUAGAACAUGUCUUGCGUUCUAAGUUUCCUAUUUUGUUCUGACUAAUAUUUUGUAGAGAUAGGAGAGAAAAUGAAGUGAUUGGCGAUUUUACGGACCGUCCAUCCACUGCGAUCAAACGGUGGAGAAACUAGAGUUACGAGGAGUUACGAGACUAAAAUUACAUGAAAUUACAAAUAGUGGUGGGACUAUUACAAAACUAGGGUGGGGCUAGUCAUUUUCUAAAAGGGUAGUUCUGUCCAAUUUUAGUCAAGGCCAAAUCAUGUUCACACCCUCGCUGUGUGGCCCGACACAUCUGGGUCGUUCCUGAUUCUAAAAAAAAAUCUGGGUUGCUCCUCCACUCUUCCCGUAGAAAACUUGUUCGAGCCCUAUCAGUUCGAAGCAGCAGGGUAGGAUAGGGCGGAGCCGCCGGUGACCCCGGCGGUGGCGGUGGCAGCAGCAGAGGGGGGCCGCGAGGAUGGCCGCUGGGACGAGGAGGCGGAGCCGAUGACCCCGGCGGUGGCGGCGGCAGAGGGGGUCGGCGAUGAUGGCCGAUGGGACGAGGAGGCGGAGCCGAUGACCCCGGCGGCGGCAGCGGAGGGGUCCCAGGGGCUCUAGGACCGAUGUCUGAUGCAGCCGUGGUUCCUCGCUGUCAAGAGCUAGAUCGAGCGCACGGCCUUUUGGAAAAUUGGACGAAUGGGCGUCCAAGAGGCACUCCUUGCCGGAUCACGCUGCUGCUGGCGUAAUCUAGGCCGGAUCUGUGGAGAGCCCGGCGCAGCACCGUCUACAGGUCCAUAUCUCUUACAGUCUUACUCUACCUUAUUCCUUGUAAGUUCACGGCUUCCAUUGCUCUUCAGUUCUGGUUAGUAGUUGGAAACUGUAAAAGUAUUGCAAUUGGUUAGUAGAUGGUUGUUGUUCUGCGACUAGACUGACCAUCCAGCCUUAAAUUUUAGUGUAAUCUCAAGAUAUUGCAAUUGAACUCUUCUUAAGGUAAUUCUCUGUUUUAUCUGAACUCACUAAGAUUAUUUGCUUUUUCUUUGGUCUUUUGCGCAUUUAAAAUGCCAGAGAAAAUUUUGUCAAUCUCUUUAUUUUCACACAAAACCUAAGGUGUUCCCCAUUUAUAAUUUAGAGACAAGCAUCUUGUCAAAGCUUAGGCUUACAAUGGAGACACCAUCAAUGGCAAUUCCAAAGUUCUGUGCCUGAUCUGUCAGUAGCUUUCUAAUCUCCCACCUCACGCGCUGAAAUUAAAGGGGAAAGGAGCAAACAAUGAGCACCCACAAGUAAUAUAUUCUGCCAAAUAUAUACAAGCAUGCCUACACAAUGCUAGUAAUCAUUGUUGUGUAGAAUGGCGCCAUACAUUGUGGAGCAAGGCCAUAACUAUGUUUCUUCACCUACAUUUGCACAGAUGAGCAAUUAUUGUCUUCUUGCCUUUUUCAGGUAUUUGGCAAUGUUGGCUCUUGGGCUGCCCAAUUGAUAACUGAAGCUGGUGGCAAGGUGGUCUCCAUCAGAGAUGUCACAGGGGCUGUCAAGAACUCCAAUGGCGUUGACAUAGCCAAGCUGAUGAAGCACUCGGCAAAGAACCGCGGGAUCAAGGGCUCCGACAAAAGGCGACGCCGUCGACCCGACCUCACUGCUCACGGAAGAGUGCGACGUGCUCAUCCCGGCAGCUCUGGCAGGAGUCAUAAACAAGUAAUCUUCUUCUUCCUCAUCCCAGCUCACUUCAUCCUAUCUUCUAUGAGAUUAAUGCUCUGAAGCUCAGUUAGAGUAUCCUCCUGGCUGUUAUUUUUUCUUCUAUAUCUUAAAACAUUUUUGUUAAUAAAUAGUCCUUUCGAUUUUCUUCUUCUCCUAGGGACAAUGUUGAUGCCAUCAAAGCAAAGUACAUCAUCGAAGCUGCUAACCACCCAACAGACCCCAAGGCCGAAGAGGCAAGAACACCAAUGUUUUGGCACAAAACUAAGCUGCAUUUGUUGACACAUUUCACACAUUGACUGACAGUAGAGAAGUGUACAUGUUCGCGCUGCAGAUUCUGGCAAAGAAGGGCGUGCUGAUCCUACCGGACAUACUGGCCAACUCCGGCGGAGUGAUGGUGAGCUACUUCAGUGGGUGCAGAAUCUCCAGGGGUUCAUGUGGGACGAGGAGAAGGUAAAUCGGGAGCUCAAGACGUACAUGACCCGCGCCUCAAACAUGUUCUGAUUAUUUAGGCAGUGUAUGGUGCCGUAUAAAAUGGACAGUAAUUAUGUAUAGUAUAUCUUUGAAAACCAGAAUUGGCUCAAUUUGGAACAAUGCCUGCUUUAUAUGAAUUUCUUGCCCGCUUUGCACGCGUUGCUAUAAGUGCAUUACCAUACCUCAGCCAUAAUCAUCCUUGACAAAUAUGGCAAUCACCUUUAGUAUGGAACAGAAGAAGCAUGCACAACCUAUUUUGUCAAUGAGCAAGUUUAGCAUAUGUUUGUACAUUGCUGAUCUAGUUAGUAAGCAGAACUCUGUUAUAGUAAAACUAGCUAGAGGAUCACCGCGCCACACGUUGUCACAACUUCAGUUUCUGGAAUGGUAUGGUUGAUGGCACUAGCCCCUCCUCAAGAUGGAGGUCAUGGGUUUGCAGGGGGCACACUGGAGAUUUUCAGAUUUAAUUGUUUGAAUGUAUCUUUAUUUCAUUUCAGAUUGUGUCAAGUCUUGUGUACUACUCCCUCUGCUCCAUCGGUUCACAAUUAUAAGAUGUUUCUAACUUAUAUUUGUGUCUGCUCCAUCCAUUUAUAAGAUGUUUCAAACUUAUAUUUGUGUCUGCUCCAUCCGUUUAUAAGAUGUUUCUAACUUCUAUUUGUGAACGGAGGGGUACUAAAUAUGAGCUUCUAUCUACAAACUUUUGUCCGCGAUCUAUUUGUGACGACUUCUCCCAAGGUAGGAGCUACUUUUGUAUGUAUACUUCUCUUGAUUCGUUCUAUGUUGUCAAGUUCUCAUUCAUUUGGUGAUCUUCUGUAAUAUUUGUGUUCGUUGAUCAUGGCCAAGUAAAUCAAAUUGAGUUUCCUGUUAAGGCCUGAUGCUUACAUCGAAACUGAACAAAAUAUAUGGUGAAAUAAUCAAAUGAUAACAAAGUUUUGCACGAUCCUCUGCACUUUUUAUGCUAAUCUGAAUAAUCUCACUUGAAUCUAAUAAAAAUGCAUCAUCUUGUCUACAGCUUCUAACAGCCACCAGUAAAAACUGAUAAUCUUAUCUACAGCAAUCUGGAGCUCCUUUAUCUUCUCUUGUUGUGCAACAUCCUUCUUAUCAUGUUCUUGCGCCUUUCCUUCCAUCUCUUCUAACCACCCAUCCUGAAAUUGCACAGUUUUUUAAAUAAAAAAAUGCACUGUGGUAUUGAUGUAAGCAUAUCUGUUUCCUACUGCUGCCUUGUGUAUGGAUCAUUCUGAACAUUAAAGAUGAUACCUGAGCUACUCAAAGCAGAUGACAUUGCCAGAUUAUUCUUUUGAACUUUUCGAGUGAGAGUCAAAAGCUGAGUAUCUAGAGUUCCAUUCACUGCCUCUGUAGAUUAAUAUCUGCUCAUUGUCAAAUGACAGAAGAACACAAGGAACAAGAUCAUACAUAUAGAGAACCACAUAAUUUAGGUCUAUAUUGGAAUCUCUAAAAAGACUUAUAUUUAGGAACGGAGGGAGUACACGGUAACAUAACGGAGGAGCCAUAAUCUAGGUUCCUUCAAGUGCUCCUCAUCUCGACCCCGACUACCGGUCAUCUAGUACCGAGACCCUGAUUAGUGGUACGGGACGUGUGAUGCCUGUACUAGUAGUAUGGCUCGUCUUAUGAUCAUAGUGGGUCCAAACGACUAAGAUCGGUACUAGUGGGCCCCGACGAGUAUGAUCAUGCGGACGCAUCAGUAGCACAAUGUGUCCUCUAAUUUUACUACUACCACUAGUAUGGGUAGUCCGAACCCAAAACUACAUUGACAUGGCGACGGCCAGGUGGGCUGUCCCACUACAAGUUCAAGCUUUAGAGCUGGAUUAUUGUCCCAAGUAGUGUUUACAUUAUUUUCGAACCAACAAUCAGUUUUCAUUCAAGUGACAAUUGUGAGACUAUGUUUACAAUAAUAGGCUUUCAACUUUGAGUUGUUGCUCAAUUUUUAGAUGAAAUGUUCCUUUGAUGCCCUCACACUAAAUUGUGGCUUUUACUAUUUUUGUAUUGCAUAUGCCGCACUAGUCCAAACUAGUGUUAUGUUCAUAACGUCAAUUAAACGACCAGUUUUACUAAGAAUGUCACUACAUUUUGGAUUUCCUUUCCUUUAGUUGUUUAUACAGGAACGAAUCAAUCAAGUUUCUACCAAAAUAGAACUACAGAAUCAGUCCUUCCAGUUAAACAUUUGGGAGCUGAUAGGAUGCAAAUUUGCACAGGCACAUUUCAUGAGACAAGUAAAGAGUAUUAGCUAACAUUUUGGGUACAAUUUGUCAAAAUGCAUAUUUUCCAUCAUAUAGUUGUACAUGUACCUGGGUAUAACCAAUCAGAUAGCACAUUGGUUGAAUCAGUUUCAGAGUUUAGGGUCAGUACAUGACAAGCCAGUACUGAAAUGAUCACCUAUCAAUAAGCUUAGGAUAGCCCCAAACAUGUAGUCUCCAAUGCUCCUUCUGUACAAGCAUUUGAGGCGACAACAAUGUUCGUUGGCAUAAAAAAUGAGCAGGAGGACUCGACCAACUCCAUUUGAAAUAGUGCUACAUAAGGGCACGCUAACUGAAACAGAUUUUCAGCAAUGGUGAACAACAAGACCAAUUCCACAAAUAAUGUACAGAAGUAGUAGAGCAAGCACAACACAAUGUCACUAAUAAACAUAUAAAUGGGUGCCUUCUUCAUAGAAUGCAGACCCUGGUCGCAAUCAGUCAUGAUACAUAUGAUAGGGUACGUACUCAGAUUACAUAGCAUCCUAAUUAAUCCAUCACACUCUACAAGUUUUCUUUUGCAGGUACACUCUGCAAGUUAUAACAAAGAUAGUUACUAGAAUUGCAAGUAAGGAAAUGCAGCUGUCUUCUCUUCCUUGCUGAAGCCUUUGUCCAUUCAAAAGCUCCCACAUAUCCUUUUUCUUCACAUGGCAACCCUGUUUCAGAGAAAGCAGAGGAGGUUCAGGAUAGCGGCGCACAAAUUUCCUUGCGGGAACCUAAACAUUACAUAGCAGGUUCACAAAUUUACUACUCAUAUUGCGGCACACAACUCCAAAACAGCAGCUUCGUAAGCUCAUGAUUAGAUGCUGUGUAAAUUAAGCAUGAUAGGCCAAUUCUGAACUACAUAUGGCAAUCUCACUUUUUGGAAAGGAGGAUCAUCAUACACAUAUAUAGCUCAUUUCAUCUGGGGCAGGGGCUAUGGGAGAGGAUUUCACUCGAAACGGAAGCAGUAUAUACCUGACUGAUGUGAACCGUUGUCCCAGAUGUAUUCACAAGAGUCUAGAAGAUGUGCUCAACCAACUGUCACAAAAACAAAUAAAUUAUUAUUUGCCUAAGUUGGUACAAGGAAUGUACAGGUGCCAAAAUCUCAUCACACUAGCUAAAAGAUGACAAAAAAGUCUUGUUAAGAUAUGUCAAAAAUUAUUCACUGGAGAGAGGAAGAGUUGAAUGUAACACAAUCCGAGGGAUAAACUUGAUCUGAAUAUGUCAAAUGUGACUAUGAAAUUCUUUCUUAAGUCUGGCAUACAUAAACAGAACAUCGAAAGCUUUUCAAAUCAACAUUGCAGAAAACUGAAAACAACUGCGAAAUUUCACAAUACCUAUGUAUCAUAUGUGCAAACCCGUGCAGUAGGAAUACUUAAGCCGCAGCUCAAAUGAGGUCGGCCAGAUAGAUCCUGCAUACAAGGGGAUAAGGAAUGAACAACAAGCAGGUAUGCUCAACACAGCAAAACUCAAUGGUUUAGUACAGAUUUACAUAUUCACUGCAUUACGGAAGAACAAGCAUGUAAGCCAAGAUAUGAAGUUAAAUAAUUGCAGCUCUCUCACUACCAUUCAAGUCUUCAUUUUGUCUGAGAUAGAUGAGUCUGAAAAACAACUUUUUUUCAAAAAAUUGACAGGAGCUCUGUCAUUUCCAUUAGAGAAGAGAAUAUUGUCUCAAGCUAGCUAUUCAAAAAAUUGACAGGAGCUUCAUCAUUUUUAUUGCUAGGUUCGUAGUAAGACUUAACAUUGCUGCCUGUGCAAAAUUAACUAGAUGUAUGGUUGUUUGAGUUAUACAUGUUUCUACUUACAAGGUUAUAUCUGAAAACAGAACUAAAUAGACAUUUUAAAUAUAUUUCAGUCAUAAUAUGACCAUUUCCUGCAACCGUAACUAUGAAAUCCAAAUUUCCUUGGUUCAGUUUUAGUAAAUGUCUGAUCUUUAACUUGCAGAUUCACGCUACUGUAACCAAGGACAUGACCGAAGCCAAACAAACACUAGGCUUUGCCUACCGAUGUGCAAAACAAAAACAAACUAAAUACAGAUUCAGCUCCCAUCAUCCUGAACUACUCUGACUAAGCCCGUGGCCCUCAUCCAAAUCAUUUCCUUAAUCCUACAAACAAUGGUAGCCACCUUCUGGUACUCAUGCCUGCAUAUCAUAACAGCAGAUGCUUCACUGCAGNNNNNNNNNNNNNNNNNNNNNNNNNNNNNNNNNNNNNNNNNNNNNNNNNNNNNNNNNNNNNNNNNNNNNNNNNNNNNNNNNNNNNNNNNNNNNNNNNNNNNNNNNNNNNNNNNNNNNNNNNNNNNNNNNNNNNNNNNNNNNNNNNNNNNNNNNNNNNNNNNNNNNNNNNNNNNNNNNNNNNAAGUUUGUGUUUCGGUGCCUUCACAUGAAUAUUGCACUGAAUAAAUUGUGAAUAGCAAUAUCUACUUGCUUUUUACUUCAUGAUUGUUGCACUAACGAGACUGACUAAAUAUGAGCUGGCUCAAAGCCUAGGUUGCAUAGCAAUUGGUUUAAAUUUGCAGCUAAAGGAAGAAACACCAUCCUAGAAGAAAAUUAUACUCCCAUAUGCAAAACAACCAGCUAGACAAAGACGCAAAAUAAUCAGAGAAGCCAGCAAAAUGUUUAGUUAGUACAGUACCAUUUUCGCCUUGAGUGCAGCUAACGUUACAUUCAACUGAAGAUAAGGUAUUACAGGCUUUUGCCUUCUAACCGUGGAAUUAACAACAGUUUUCUCAAUCUAGUGUGAUGGGAAGGUAAUGGGAGGGGGUCAGGGAAGUGGGUGGAGGAAGGGUGGCUACCUGCCUACGGACUGGUCCGCGGCGUUGCUCGGCAUGACCGGAUGCUCGACGGAGGGAUGCGCUGCAGGGGGCGGUGGGGCAGAGGAGGCUUCGGCGGGCUCGGCACGCCGCGCCUGAUGGCAUGCAGUUCCUGCGGCUCCUGGCGGCGGGCCAGAAACCUGGCGGCAAUCCAGCGGGAUCCCUUAAUUGCGGCGGCGGCGAGGUCCGGCGGGAUCCCUUGAUGGCGGCGGCGGCGAGGUCCGGCGGGAUCACUUGAUUGCGGCGGCGGCGAGGUCCGGUGGGAUCCCUUGUUUGCGGCGGCGGCUUUGGACGGAAACUGGAUUAGGGGAGGGGCGAGAAAAAGUAUAGGCAGCUGCGGCUGUGUGACGAUCUGGGGCAGCGGCGGCACGACCGACAGGAGGGACGCCGUCGUCGCCACGGUCGAGGGUCGGGUCGGUGGCGGCGGCUGUGCGAGGGGAUUGAGGAGGAUAAUAAACUGACAACGACGAAGGCUAUGCGAGGGAUUGACUAGCGACUCGAUUGACCGGCUAAUUUACUACUCUACCCUGUUCGCACAUAAAAAACCUUUAAAUGAUUUCUUUGAUCCGACGGUUAGAAAAAAUCAGCGGCGGAGUUACACGAAAUUAUGAAUCGUAACUCGUCAAUCACCGUAAUGCACACACUAGCAACUUCCAAUAUUAUAUUUGAGUACUUCUCUUUAGAUGUACUGGAUAUAUAAUAUAUAAUGUAAUAUAUGUCCAGAUUUGGGAAUUUUUAUGUAUGUUUUUUAUAAAGUUCUGUAGCGUUUUCUUAUAAUAUAUACUAUACAUACAAUUUUUUAAUACAAUUUUGUUAGAAUUUUUCCAUUCUUGCAAUUUUGUUACCCAUAUGCAGAAUAUGAUGCAAGGUGUCAAUUAGGCAGCAGAAACACAUUAGUGCCAAUUUUUUAAUACAUGUACGCCUAUUAGUUUUUCUUUAUUAUGUUUCAUACAAAUAUUGUAUCACCAUUGAUUGCAAAUGACAUUAUUUCGUCUUUUGCUCCCAGGCCUGAAAUCCCUAUCUCUUCUCUACUUCUCUAUCUACUACUAUUAAUAAUCUUCUACUACUAUUAAACAAUCAAACAAGAGCUUUCUUACAUGCACCCCGUAAUUAAUCCCACAAUAACGCACGAGCCAAUCAGCACCACACGAUUAUCUAUCUACUUCUUCUACUACUAUUAAACAAUCAAACAAGAACUUUCUUACAUGCACCCCGCAAUUAAUCACACAAUAACGCACGAGCCAAUCAGCACCACACGAUUAGGCCAACAAGUCUCAAUCUAACGGCCAUCAUUAAUCCAAUACCUCUACAGUGUGCACUUAGCAUUUACCAAUGACUGACCGUACUUCACCAGGAGAGUAGUAGUCGAACAACCAGCCCCGCGCGUCCCCUACAAUCACGGAAAUCAGAUCGCAAACUAACAACCAACCCAGCAUCCCCUACAAUCACGGAAAAUCAGAUCGCAAGCUAAGGGAACUUCACGCCCUUGACCUUGACCCCACCGCCAGGCACAUACGCCGCCAACCAACGGCGUCUCCUGCCUGCGCAGCGACCACGCCGCACUGCACCGUCCCGUCACCUCCGUGCACGAUCGCCAUCGCCGAUUGUUGCCGCUCGUAGCGUGGCAUCCGUCCUGCGAGAUCGCCAGUGCCCAGGAGAGAGCCUGCCCCGGCACCCGCACCGCCGUGCCCGCCCUGCACUGGCACCCACGCCGCCGCGCACACGCCCGCCGGGGCAGGGCGCCAGCGCCUGUCGCGUCCCCUGAACCAGCCGGGCACACGCAGCUGUGAUUCUUCCGAGGACUUCUUCAGGUUCGACUUCUUCCUUUGACUGUUGCAGCAUUACUCAUGAUUAGAUUUUUGAUAAUAGAGUUCUAACUAAUAAACAGUUGCACAGCAAAAUGCUAUAAGCCUUUCAUUUUACAUACUGACUAUAUGAGGAUAAUGAAACUGGAUUUGUGUUGCACAAAUUGCCUUUACUAUAUCAAGUAAAUACAGGAAAGUGACUUUACUAUAUCAAGUUCCAUCAACAUGACCACCAACACAAUCAUUCUACAAAGUAAUAUAGCAUCUAUCCAGCUCCAGGGUGUUACAAUGAAUUGUAUAAAUCUGUAUAAACCCACUUUUGCACACCACAUGAUUGAGAAUGUGCAUGAUUAUUUAAACUGAAAACAUCUGGAGUACACGUGAUCCAUUCUAAUUCUGAAAACUAAAGAAGUCGCACUUCCUGCUCCCUGAGUACAAAAUGGUGCAUUUGAAUGUCUGUUUGUUGGAACUACGCAACUUUAGCAUAUCUUUUUUUUCAUGUGCAUCUCCUAAUAGGUGAGAGCAUCAACAACAUUUUGUUGAUCUAUCAUGAACCGGUUUAGAAUAUAUGUUUUUGCAGGACUAAUGCUUGUGGUAAGCCAUCUAAGAAAUAUUUAGAGUUGCCGGCAAAGGUAAUCUGGAAGUAUGAUUUAGUAAACAAAUAUGCCCGACCAUCACAUCAAGGAAAUGUUCCAUAUACAACUACAUGAAUUUCUUAGAACAAUAAAAAUAUUGUGCAAUGCAACGAAGAUUCAAAACAUACUCUUUGAUUCAGACUUGUUGCUCCCAUCCCCUUUCGGUACCAAAAAGUGUUCAAGUUUUGUACCUGAUCUGGAAUCCAAACCCCUGGCUUGCUGAAUGACUCGAGCAGGUCAGAACCACAUAGCAGCAUUACCUUGACACUUCCUGAGACAAAACGCAAGUCGUAAACAACUGAUUUAUAUACAGUGUUAUAGUACUGAUACAAUUGGUGAUCCAACAAUGUGAGAGAAGACACUACUGUGUUGCAACAACAAAAAUCAUUGUCACAUACCUUGAUCAGCUAAGCCAUCCUUGCACAGAAGAAUUCUUAACUCUUGAGAGAAUGGUCAAGGUACGCUGAUGACCUUUCUGCAUUGCCUGUAUCAAGAACACAAGAAUGUGUCCAUCAAAUGAACACAUCAUCCGAACUGAAAGUACCUUAUGUGAUAGCGAAAAUCCAAUGGUACGCAUGUACUGAUAACAUGAAAAAUCAGGUUAUUAUGCAUGGAUCAACCAUCACGAAAGACGAGCUUCAACAUGCCAAUUCGCAGAGGCGAAUCCGGUGAGCAAACGGCAAGAGGUCAUGAGCAGCCCCAAAUUGCAAAUUCGGUCAUGAGAAUGUGGUGUUAACACAAACCCAUACACAUUUCCAGUUCCGCAUAGUACCUUCUUCUUGUUAGCAUCGGUUCACCAGGGACAUGUAUCCAUUAAGGCAGUAACAUCCCAGCACCGACUACCCUCGCUGCUGCAACUCAUCCUUUGCAAGCUCUGUACGUAUGAAACAAGAGAUGGGGUAAUAUGCAAUCUAUUUGUUCUGAUUCUCAGCAUGUUCUAAUAUUAACACAACACUUCAGAGUUGCUAAACAGAUUUAACAGGUGUUGCGGCUUACCAAACAUGCCUGUGCAUGUAGGUGGGAAGGUUGAAGCUCCCGGUGGCCACCAGCACAACACCACCCCGCCUUCCCCCGUCUCUGCGGUCAUCCAAUUGAAUAAGGGAACGUAUGGUGGACUAGGAUGACUCUGAAUAACGCAAGUGAAGAAAUCCAAGAUCAGGUUCUUUUCUUUCUGCUUACAGAUUUGGAUCCGUGGACAACUUCUCUGUGGGGACGGGAACUUCCACCUCCUCCAAGGCCAUGGCCACGGCCGUCCUCUUCAAAUUCCCAGCUGAGCAAGAAGCCGGCACAAAAUCUUCGCUUCUCUCUUCCUGGGGUCGGCGUGCGCCCCCCGCCUGAGAGGUCGGUAGUCCGGCGUGUGCGGUAAGGGGCCGGCAUCACCGGCGAGCAUGCCAAGCUCGACCGCCUCCUCGAGCACUUCGAGGGCCGAAUUCGAAGGAGGAGCGAGGUGGAGUAGGGGCAUGCACGUCCGCCGGCGUGGGUGACGAAGGGGAGGGGCGGCCUUACAGGGAGCGCCGGCUAUGGAGGGAGGGAUCUGGCGACCAUGGAAUAUUAGGGAAGGGAGGAGAAAAGACAGGGGCGGUGGAAUGACUGGCUUUUUUAGUACAACUACAGUAUAUACUAGCAGUGUCCAGAGAAGGAUUGUGAGUGACUGUGGCGUUGUCCAAACCAAUUUUCUUUCAUCCUCUAGAAAAAUACUUUUCUUUUAUAGGGCAUGUUCGAUUUUGGGUGCCAUUUCUUUAAUCAUCACGGCUUGUUAUGAUCAUGAUGAUCAGUUGAUGGUUUAAAAAGUUUCGUAUAAAUAUCUAUAAAAAUUAAAUAAAACUGAAUAUAUUUUAUGUUUUGUAAUCCUGUAGGUCAUCUUGUGGAGUACUUCACCGGAGAUAUAAAUUUUAUGGGUCUAUGAAAACUAACUAACUCUGAUUACUACUUUAUAGGAUCAUAUGACAUAUUUUAGAACAAAACUACCUGUCAUUUUAGUGGAUGAGGAAUAAAAUGAUGAUAUUACAAGAAAUCAAGACUUGAAAGAUGACGGAAACAACACAGACCCCAAAGAUUGAAUGAUUAUUGAUANNNNNNNNNNCCCCAAAACAUCGAACAUAUCACCCGAAGUUGAGCUCAUCUCACAAUCAUUUAUCCUUUCACCGACUGUCACUCCAACAAACGAUGACUUAAUAGAGUAACUUUGUUCAUCGGUAUGAUUGAUGAUGUCCCUUUACUAGAGUAAGACAUAUUUUUUCAUAUUUUAAAGUAUGAAGGAAAUGAAGUUGACGAGGAAGUUUUUGAUAUAUAUUUUAAAGUACGAAGGGAACCAAGCUCAAACCAAUAUCCCAUCGGAUGGAGCACCAUAGAUCGUAUCAAUAAAUGGACCUUCAAGAGAUAAUGGUGUUUAGUUGUGUUUUUUAAAUUAUGUAACAAAUUAUAAUAGAAUUAUGUGAUCAUCAAUGUUAUAUGAAGACAUGUUUAUGGGUCGUAUGUUACACGCGCGCUCAUAUCACUGAGCAUAAGACAGAUUUGAAUGGGUCGGUAAAAAACUCGCUAGAAGAGAAAAUAUACUCAAAUAGAUGUUUUUAUUGUAGAUUAUGAUACGUGCGUUGCACAUGCAUGUGUACUAGUAGCAAAAAACAAUCUAACCACACUCUCAAAUUUGAGAAAAUCCGAACUUUAUUCUUAUGUGUAAAUGUUCACACUAACAUUGGAAUAUCAAAUUGUCGGUGUACAAAAAGAGGGGUACACUUUUUGUACCCCUAUAACUGUGCACGGGCAGUCUGAGUCUACUACUAUUAAACAAUCAAACAAGAACUUUCUUACAUGCACCCCGCAAUUAAUCCCACAAUAACGCACGAGCCAAUCAGCACCACACGAUUAGGCCAACAAGUCUCAAUCUAACGGCCAUCAUUAAUCCAAUACCUCUACAGUGUGCACUUAGCAUUUACCAAUGACUGACCGUACUUCACCAGGAGAGUAGUAGUCGAACAACCAGCCCCGCGCGUCCCCUACAAUCACGGAAAUCAGAUCGCAAACUAACAACCAGCCCAGCAUCCCCUACAAUCACGGAAAAUCAGAUCGCAAGCUAAGGGAACUUCACGCCCUUGACCUUGACCUCACCGCCAGGCACAUACGCCGCCAACCAACGGCGUCUCCUGCCUGCGCAGCGACCACGCCGCACUGCACCGUCCCGUCACCUCCGUGCACGAUCGCCAUCGCCGAUUGUUGCCGCUCGUAGCGUGGCAUCCGUCCUGCGAGAUCGCCAGUGCCCAGGAGAGAGCCUGCCCCGGCACCCGCACCGCCGUGCCCGCCC